CUUAAAUGUAAUCCUCUGUUAUAAUUUUUUUACUUCCCCUUAAAAUGAAAUUCCCUCCCUCCUUUAUUUCUCCCAAAUUUUGAUUUCCUCAUUUCCCCAUCCAAAAAUUGAGCGCUCACAUUUUAACUGAUUUCCCUCAUUCAUCCCCCUUUAGCCCUAAAUGAGUUCCUCUCCUAUUGGUGUUUCCCUCCCUUAACACUCCAUCGCACCACCGCUUUAAUUUUAGAAGAUAUCGUCUUCGCACGGACUGUGCGAGUGGAUUGGGUUGGCUAGUAUUUGUGAUCCCAAUUGCUAUUAUCAUAUAGCUACGACCUUCAGGUUUGAUUUUUUUUCCCUAUUGAUUGUGCUUAUAAACCUAAAUAUAUAUGACCUGGAUUAGGGUAUUUUCUAGUAUAUCACCUAAUUGCUUCUAGCCUUCUAUUGAUUCUUAGGGUAAAAAUCUUAUUAAAGCUAUAUCAUGUUUUGUACAUGAACUGUUUGAUGAUUUGUUUAAGGCAUUAUGGUUUCUUUUUAAUGAAGUGUAGUGUUCAUUGUGUUGAAUAUAUGAAGAAAUCAUAAUGAGCGGCGAUGGAAUUGGGAUAGAGGUUGGAAAAUUAAUAAAGGUCCUGAGAAAAAAAUGUUUUCUGUAUGAUCAUGGUGAAUGUGUUUAAAUGAGAAGCAACAAGAAGAAGAUUUGCUUUCAGGUUAAUGAUUUGUGGAUUUGUAAUUGAGUAACAUCUUUCGGUACUUGACAUAUUUAAAUUUGUUUCUUACUUAAAAGUGAUAGUUAAUUGGAUUCAUAUAAUUCACUAUGAGAUGAUGUUUGACCUUUUUCUUGGUUUUGGUGGUUGCCCCAAUCAUAUGGUCUAGAAAAUCAGGCAUCUUUGCCAGAGAACGAGUUUUAGAAAACCUGACGUCCUCCGCUCCUCCAAGUUCCACCUCAGAAUCACUCUCUUUAUCGUCUUGUGCAUCGCCGGAGACCGGUGUAACAGAUAUCACUGUGAUGUGGCAGACCAGAGACUUGCUCAACAUAGUGACAAAGGAAACGAAGAUGGGUUGCUCAUCUGCAAUGUGGCUUUUCGCUCAAACCUAUUGGCUCUUAUAAUGGAUUCUUGCACUUGUAUCACCUCUCAAGUUUACCAACUCUCUCCCUCAUUUCUCAACAAGGAUUAGAUUAUGCAACAGUGGGAGAAAUCCUGCUAUAUUAGCGUGAUAGCAUGUGCGAACAACGGGAGUUCUUUAGUUAAGGGUACCCAAUACAUUCAGCAGUGUUACAAAGUCAGUGAAUCAUUUUCUUUUUAGUGGAUAAAUAAUAAAUAGAGAGAAAGGUUCCAUAUCACUGCUAUGGCAACUGCGAGAACCAGAUGGGCAAUUGUUAUGUCCCGUGGUGCUGGAUUCUCUGACCAGGUCAAAAUAUUUCUUUUGUUAUUUACAUGAGCAAUUUAUUUGAUUUUGUAUUAAUGUGAUCCUAGGUUGUGGAACCGGACUUGUUGUAUCCAAAUGAAGGUAUGCAUAAACGAUGGGAUGCUGGGUAUAGGAUAACAUUAACUGCAUCUACAUCAAACCAAGCUGCUUUUGUUCUUAGCAUCCGAGAAGAAAACUUGCAGAUGAUACACAGGACACACUUUGCACUUCUGUGUUUCCUAGCACACAUGUCAAGGGCAAUGGCCAUGUAUGCUUCACAAAGUGGUGCCAACAUAAGGGUUAAACUCAUCUGGAUUAACGCUAGGUGUCCACGUCAGCCAGGAGGUACUGAAUGCGGCUACUAUGUGAUGAACUUCAUGAAGGAGAUAGCUUACGAAGCAGUUGAAAUACUUGACAAUGAUAAUGUUGGGAAAGGAGUAGAGGAAUACUCGGCUGCGGAUAUGGAUGGCAUUUGUGAAGAUUGGUCGACUUAUGCCGUUAACUCUAUUUUUAAGUUAUAAAUCGUAUUUUAGGUGUUGAUAAUGUAUUGACAAACAAUUCUUUUUUUGUUAACGUUAAAAUAUUUGUAGUAUACUUGACAAAUGAUUAUGUAAUGGAUUGUUUUGGUAUA